UGGGGAAUUUUGCGCAAUGGGGGAAACCCUGACGCAGCAACGCCGCGUGAGUGAUGAAGGCCUUCGGGUCGUAAAGCUCUGUCUAGAGGAAAGAAGUGUGAGGAGGCUAAUACCCUUUUCACUUGACGGUACCUCUGAAGGAAGCACCGGCUAACUCCGUGCCAGCAGCCGCGGUAAUACGGAGGGUGCGAGCGUUGUUCGGAAUUAUUGGGCGUAAAGCGCGUGUAGGCGGUUUCUUAAGUCUGAUGUGAAAGCCCCGGGCUCAACCUGGGAAGUGCAUUGGAUACUGGGAGACUUGAAUACGGGAGAGGGUAGUGGAAUUCCUAGUGUAGGAGUGAAAUCCGUAGAUAUUAGGAGGAACACCGGUGGCGAAGGCGGCUACCUGGACCGAUAUUGACGCUGAGACGCGAAAGCGUGGGUAGCAAACA
rnacentral:rRNA from 1 species